rnacentral:tRNA from 1 species
GGUCUCAUGGCCGAGUGGCUAGGCGCCGGUCUGCAAAACCGUUUACAGCGGUUCGAAUCCGCUUGAGACCU